CUUUAACACACGAAGCUUUAAAGAACUUUAAAGAACCGGAGGUUGACGUCUGCUCAGGGACAGAAACAAUCUACAUCGACAAACUGAACACAGCAAGUUUCAUAAUGUUUGUAUCGGAUAGUUUGCGACAGACGUCACUAGAAGAUUAGAACAACGAGGUAAAAAGGUCAGACAGCACACAGCGAGAUACAAUGAAGCACACGCUUAGAAACAUGACAUUACAGAGUGGAGAGUUCUGGUUGCUCUAUUAAAGGUUUGUGGCAACUUUCAAGUUGAGUUUUACGGUUUUUUGUUUAAUCCAACACAUUGUUUGUUUAACUCAUCCAAAAACCAAAGUGUGUAACAGACAUGAAGUCGUUGUUAUGUUCUGUUUGUGUCACAAACGUCUUGUGAAACAACCUCAAACGUUUCCUCUUCUGUUCUCCAGUCGACUCCCCAGGACGCUGAGCUAGUGUUGUGUUCACGUUGUGUCUCGUAGAGGCGGUGAAAUCUUUCAUCAGUGGAGUUCGUUCAGUGGAUGCUGGUUUCUCUCUGACUCUGUUCUGUGGUCACCAGGUUGUAUCCGGUGGUUCCAGGAAACGCUCGAGUGAGCGUUGAAAAUGAGAUCGUGGUUGGAGAUCAUCUCUUCCCCAAAAACACGCUGUUCCACCUGUGCCACUACGCCGUGUCCUACGACGAGAACAUCUUCCCCGACGCCCACUCCUUCCUGCCUCAGCGCUGGCUCCGAGGGGCCGAGGAGAAGUCCAGGCAGCACCCGUUCGGGUCGGUGCCGUUCGGUUUUGGGAUCCGGGCGUGUCUGGGGAGACGGGUGGCCGAGCUGGAGAUGUACCUCCUCCUGUCGAGGCUGAUGAAACACUACGAGGUGAGGCCGGAUCCGGCCGGCACCGAGGUGACGCCGAUCACCAGAACUCUGCUCUGCCCGGCUAAACCCAUCAACCUGCAGUUUGUGGACCGAGCGGCGCAGCGGCAGUAGUUCAGUAUUCACACCGAUGAUAGAGAUUCUAUAGAUUAUACAGAUAAUACAGAUGAUAUAGAAUAUAUAGAUCAUGAGGCUGAAUGUACAGUUUGCUUGUUGUUUCAUGUAAAUAUGAAGACUGAAUGAGUCCCUGGAGGAGUGUUGUAGUUCAGUUGUUCAGGACGAUGUCAGCAGCUAUCAGGAGAGGAACAUACACGUAAUGUAAUAUUUUUGUUUCUUCCAUAACACGUCUUCUUUCAGACUUGAGGAAAUAAAACAUUUAUUUUAUUAUUUUGUCUGUAGAUUUCUCCUAAAAUCACCAGAAGUUACAUUACAUAACGCCUCAUUUGCAUAUUUAAACAUAACAUUUUCAGAAAACUUGUAACAAAAACAAUCAACCGGAGAAGUUUUCAUGUUCAUACAUCUAAACGUUGUUUUCAUUUUCCUUUCAUCUAAAACUAAUGUUUUUAUUGUACAUAUUAAAAACCAGCUGAUGAGGAAACUACAAAAUAAAAGCAUUGUCAGUGAGUCGGACUGUGACCUUUAUAUUUAAUGUUAAUGAUUCUUCAGACGGAGCUUUAUUCCAUAUUUUAGUGUUUCUUGUUCAUUGUUGUUGUGCAGUUCAAUGAUUCAUAUAAUAAAGAACCCACAACAUGAA